rnacentral:rRNA from 1 species
UACGUAGGGUGCGAGCGUUGUCCGGAAUUAUUGGGCGUAAAGGGCGCGUAGGCGGUGUGUCAAGUCAGGCGUGAAAGCCCCGGGCUCAACCUGGGAACCGCGCUUGAGACUGGCACGCUAGAGUUCGGGAGAGGAUGGUGGAAUUCCCAGUGUAGAGGUGAAAUUCGUAGAUAUUGGGAAGAACACCGAUGGCGAAGGCAGCCAUCUGGACCGACACUGACGCUGAGGCGCGAAAGCGUGGGGAGCAAACAGG